GUAAUAAUCCUGUAGUCGAAAAUGUUGUCUCUCUUGAGUGGAUCCUGAGUACGACGGAGCACGUGAAAUUCCGUCGGAAUCUGGGAGGACCAUCUCCUAAGGCUAAAUACUCUCUAGUGACCGAUAGUGAACCAGUACCGUGAGGGAAAGGUGAAAAGCACCCCGGAAGGGGAGUGAAAUAGAACCUGAAACCGUGUGCUUACAAGUAGUCAGAGCCCGUUAAUGGGUGAUGGCGUGCCUUUUGUAGAAUGAACCGGCGAGUUACGAUUUGAUGCAAGGUUAAGCAGUAAAUGUGGAGCCGUAGCGAAAGCGAGUCUGAAUAGGGCGUUUAGUAUUUGGUCGUAGACCCGAAACCAGGUGAUCUACCCUUGGUCAGGUUGAAGUUCAGGUAACACUGAAUGGAGGACCGAACCGACUUACGUUGAAAAGUGAGCGGAUGAACUGAGGGUAGCGGAGAAAUUCCAAUCGAACCUGGAGAUAGCUGGUUCUCUCCGAAAUAGCUUUAGGGCUAGCCUCAAGUGAUGAUUAUUGGAGGUAGAGCACUGUUUGGACGAGGGGCCCCUCUCGGGUUACCGAAUUCAGACAAACUCCGAAUGCCAAUUAAUUUAACUUGGGAGUCAGAACAUGGGUGAUAAGGUCCGUGUUCGAAAGGGAAACAGCCCAGACCACCAGCUAAGGUCCCAAAAUAUAUGUUAAGUGGAAAAGGAUGUGGCGUUGCCCAGACAACUAGGAUGUUGGCUUAGAAGCAGCCAUCAUUUAAAGAGUGCGUAAUAGCUCACUAGUCGAGUGACACUGCGCCGAAAAUGUACCGGGGCUAAACAUAUUACCGAAGCUGUGGAUUGUCCUUUGGACAAUGGUAGGAGAGCGUUCUAAGGGCGUUGAAGCAUGAUCGUAAGGACAUGUGGAGCGCUUAGAAGUGAGAAUGCCGGUGUGAGUAGCGAAAGACGGGUGAGAAUCCCGUCCACCGAUUGACUAAGGUUUCCAGAGGAAGGCUCGUCCGCUCUGGGUUAGUCGGGUCCUAAGCUGAGGCCGACAGGCGUAGGCGAUGGAUAACAGGUUGAUAUUCCUGUACCACCUAUAAUCGUUUUAAUCGAUGGGGGGACGCAGUAGGAUAGGCGAAGCGUGCGAUUGGAUUGCACGUCUAAGCAGUAAG
rnacentral:rRNA from 1 species